rnacentral:rRNA from 1 species
GUUGAACGCUGGCGGCAGGCCUAACACAUGCAAGUCGAACGGUAACAGGAAACAGCUUGCUGUUUCGCUGACGAGUGGCGGACGGGUGAGUAAUGUCUGGGAAACUGCCUGAUGGAGGGGGAUAACUACUGGAAACGGUAGCUAAUACCGCAUAACGUCGCAAGCCCAAAGAGGGGGACCUUCGGGCCCCUUGCCAUCGGAUGUGCCCAGAUGGGAUUAGCUGGUAGGUGGGGUAACGGCUCACCCAGGCGACGAUCCCUAGCUGGUCUGAGAGGAUGACCAGCCACACUGGAACUGAGACACGGUCCAGCCUCCUACGGGAGGCAGCAGUGGGGAAUAUUGCACAAUGGGCGCAAGCCUGAUGCAGCAAUGCCGCGUGUAUGAAGAAGGCCUUCGGGUUGUAAAGUACUUUCAGCGGGGAUGAAGGGAGUAAAGUUAAUACCUUUGCUCAUUGACGUUACCCGCAGAAGAAGCACCGGCUAACUCCGUG